AAGUCGUAACAAGGUCUCCGUAGGUGAACCUGCGGAGGGAUCAUUAACACGUUUCCAAAAACGUUUUCUAACCAAAUCAACGUGAACCUAAAACUACUCCCUUAUCAGUGUGACGAACGAAUAAUCAUCAGGGUGGAGUGCAACGAAAGUUGUGUUAUGACUCGUUCUAGGGGCCCUUCGAGGCUUCAAUCCGCUGAUAAGUGUCUUUGCGACCACCUGGCAGUCUACAUUCGUGUAGCGUUCUGCCGAAUUUUUUCACAACAAUUUUUAACCCCUUUCACAACAUACUAAUAACUGAACCAUUUUUUUUCUAAUACAUCCCUUGUGAUGUAUUGAAAAAAAGAUAUACGUAAUGCUGAACAACUCUUAGCAAUGGAUAUCUUGGUUCUC
rnacentral:misc_RNA from 1 species